CUCAGGGAAGGACAACCAAGCCCAUUGUAGCUUUGAUCCUUCCUGCAAAACACUGGGAACACAGAAAACCUCAGCCUUUUCAUUUUCGUAUUCACAAAGCUCAGUGAGUGAGAGCUUAAAAACUUGUGGAGGAGACCUUUAGAGAGGCCACAGGGAGGACACUCCCCACCCCCUCUGCCACCAUCUGAGUCUAGCUCUGCUUGCUAAGCCCGUGGCAGAAACAAGUGGCUCAGACGAGCCUGGCUCCUCAGACCCAGCUCAGACUGGCUGCAGCCGAUGUGUGCUGCGCUGGAGGGAGGAGAUUGGGAUCAGGAGCCCCACAGCUCUCACCUGCCACACCCUUCUGCAGGUCCUCAACCCACUGCACUGCCCUGGGCCCGGACUCCAGUGAAAGCAGGGCAUCUGUAUUCUUCAUCCAUAUGAAGAAGCGAGGAAGUGUGAAGGUUAAUUUUCUUGAGCAGCCAUGCCAACGUUGUGCAGGCAUCACAGAGGGUUUGAGGAUUUAGAAAUCGUUAUUUAGGGGAAAAAUUAAAGGACAUGUGAAGAAAGAACCAGAUACAAGGAAGCAGGAAGUGCUCUCAACGCUGCAAGGUCACCGAUUCAGAAAGCAGAGGAUAGAAGUGGGGAAUGAAAAAAAGAAUGGCAUCCAGGAAAGAGAUUUUGGUGCCAACCACUGGACAUCUGUGUGUUCUUUGCUCUUUGUCUCUUUGGGGCAGCUGCUGGGGGUGGGUACAAGGUGUGCAGGGGCUUUGGGCUGUGUGCACAGACAUUUGUUGACAAUAGACCAGUUUCAGUUUGGUUUGAAACUAUUAAAAUUUUAUUUUUAUUGGUGUCUCAGAAAGGCAGUGAUUGUUCUGUUCCCCUGGCACAUCUAUCCCAGAGGCAGGUUGUAACUCGUCCUGUUUGCCCAAGCCUUAGUAGAGUCCCCAGGGAAGGGACAGUCAGAUGGUGUCAAUUUGAAAGCAAAUGUGUCUCCUGAUCAAAAGAAACCCACUGAGGUGGAGGCUUGUCACCUUCUUCCCCUCCAUCUUCCAGCUCUUGUGCUUGGCACCUUUUUUCCUGUGGACAGUCCGACCCAGCUGGAAAGCUCUGACUAUUUGUAGGCAGCUGGGAACACAGUUUUGUGUCAACAGGGAGGUUGGGGUUUAAUGGAGAAUGAUUCCUCAGGCUCCUGAGCAGUCUUUCACAAAUGGCAGCUCAAACGUUUCACCAGUGGAGAGUAGGGAGCACUUCUUGGUAUUUUUCAGACCCAAGCGCAGCCACUUAUUGGCUGCGUGACAGUGGGCAGGUGGCUUAACUUCUCUGAACCUCAGACUUCUCAUUUUGCUAUCA
rnacentral:lncRNA from 1 species